rnacentral:rRNA from 1 species
AUUGAACGCUGGCGGAAUGCUUUACACAUGCAAGUCGAGCGGCAGCACGGGGGCAACCCUGGUGGCGAGCGGCGAACGGGUGAGUAAUACAUCGGAACAUGCCCAGUCGUGGGGGAUAACACUUCGAAAGAAGUGCUAAUACCGCAUACGUCCUGAGGGGGAAAGCGGGGGAUCGCAAGACCUCGCGCGAUUGGAGUGGCCGAUGUCAGAUUAGCUAGUUGGUUGGGUAAAGGCCUACCAAGGCAACGAUCUGUAGCUGGUCUGAGAGGAUGAUCAGCCACACUGGGACUGAGACACGGCCCAGACUCCUACGGGAGGCAGCAGUGGGGAAUUUUGGACAAUGGGGGCAACCCUGAUCCAGCCAUUCCGCGUGAGUGAAGAAGGCCUUCGGGUUGUAAAGCUCUUUCGGCAGGAACGAAACGGUGAGCUCUAACAUAGCUUGCUAAUGACGGUACCUGAAGAAGAAGCACCGGCUAACUACGUG